AUGUCACAACUUCCCACGCCCUCGGCACCUUGUACACGCCCUCGGCACCUUGUACCCACCCAAAUGUUCUCGGAAGGUCCCGCCUGCUUUGGAAGCCCCACCAACUUCCCAUUCAACCCCAGUCAUCCCAUCCUUGAGGCAAUAACCUUCUUUGUCCCAGUUUCCCCAUCUCUGACAUACAAAAAGUAUUACCUUGGUGAAGCAGAUGAGUUGGAGGGGAAGCCUGGAGUCAUGGAUGCCAUCAGAAGUACAGCUGAAAAGAUUUUCUUCUCAGUUGGAUAUGGGUGGGAAGGAAAGAAGAGUCAAGAUGACUCCAAUAGCACUGAGAGAAGGAUGGUGGCUCCAUUCACUGAGGUGGAGCCUGUGGGCAGCAGGUUGGCGGGGGUGGAGAUCAGUUCUGAACGUGUUGACUUUCAGAUGAUUAGGCAUCAACCUGAUCUCCAGAACCUCAGUGACAGCCAUCCACUGGAUGGAUCUAUUGGGACCCAGAGCAUCCAUGUCAAUGCCUUUCGAGGUGUGGUCAGCAUCCAAGUCAACAAUGUUUUGAAUGAGUGGGAUGGAAUCUUGGACUACGAGAAUGCCCUUCUGGUGGCUAAGCUGUUUAGCAAGAUGGCCUGUGUCUUAGCCAAGAUGGAUGAAGCUGUCCAAAUUUGGAUGAUAUUAGCAAGGCCCUGGACCACCAGGCUUUAAAGCAUUAUCCAUCCACUCGAGGCCUGACCUACACUGUUUUACCCAGCCGGGUCAAGAACUUAGCCCAGUAUCAAGUGCCCAUCAAGGACGUGUGCCGACAGGUCCCCACCUACUUUGUCCAAGAGCAAAAAGAAGGUACUGCACUGGCUAUUGACCCCAAUUCCUGUUUCGAAGUCCAAAUUCUGUCCUUCCUGAGACUCUCCAUCUGUGGGGAGUUCCCUGGGCUCUGAACCUCCAGGUCGGCCACGUGGAGAGCGGACCUGCCUGGAUGGGACCGCUGACCUGAACCCAGAGCUCAGGGACCCAGCCCACCUCUGCCGAUGGGAAGCGGCUCAUUUCAGGCCUCCACCUUCUACUUUUUGACCCAAGAUCAAGCUCUGUAAUCUAAAAACGGGAUACACUUUCUCCCUCUGGAUUAGAACAAUAAAGUUUCUUGCCUCCCUGGUC